GGGUUGUGAGGUUAAGCGACUAAGCGUACACGGUGGAUGCCCUGGCAGUCAGAGGCGAUGAAGGACGUGCUAAUCUGCGAUAAGCGUCGGUAAGGUGAUAUGAACCGUUAUAACCGGCGAUUUCCGAAUGGGGAAACCCAGUGUGAUUCGUCACACUAUCAUUAACUGAAUCCAUAGGUUAAUGAGGCGAACCGGGGGAACUGAAACAUCUAAGUACCCCGAGGAAAAGAAAUCAACCGAGAUUCCCCCAGUAGCGGCGAGCGAACGGGGAGGAGCCCAGAGCCUGAAUCAGUGUGUGUGUUAGUGGAAGCGUCUGGAAAGGCGCGCGAUACAGGGUGACAGCCCCGUACACAAAAAUGCACAUGCUGUGAGCUCGAUGAGUAGGGCGGGACACGUGGUAUCCUGUCUGAAUAUGGGGGGACCAUCCUCCAAGGCUAAAUACUCCUGACUGACCGAUAGUGAACCAGUACCGUGAGGGAAAGGCGAAAAGAACCCCGGCGAGGGGAGUGAAAAAGAACCUGAAACCGUGUACGUACAAGCAGUGGGAGCACGCUUAGGCGUGUGACUGCGUACCUUUUGUAUAAUGGGUCAGCGACUUAUAUUCUGUAGCAAGGUUAACCGAAUAGGGGAGCCGAAGGGAAACCGAGUCUUAACUGGGCGUUAAGUUGCAGGGUAUAGACCCGAAACCCGGUGAUCUAGCCAUGGGCAGGUUGAAGGUUGGGUAACACUAACUGGAGGACCGAACCGACUAAUGUUGAAAAAUUAGCGGAUGACUUGUGGCUGGGGGUGAAAGGCCAAUCAAACCGGGAGAUAGCUGGUUCUCCCCGAAAGCUAUUUAGGUAGCGCCUCGUGAAUUCAUCUCCGGGGGUAGAGCACUGUUUCGGCAAGGGGGUCAUCCCGACUUACCAACCCGAUGCAAACUGCGAAUACCGGAGAAUGUUAUCACGGGAGACACACGGCGGGUGCUAACGUCCGUCGUGAAGAGGGAAACAACCCAGACCGCCAGCUAAGGUCCCAAAGUCAUGGUUAAGUGGGAAACGAUGUGGGAAGGCCCAGACAGCCAGGAUGUUGGCUUAGAAGCAGCCAUCAUUUAAAGAAAGCGUAAUAGCUCACUGGUCGAGUCGGCCUGCGCGGAAGAUGUAACGGGGCUAAACCAUGCACCGAAGCUGCGGCAGCGACACUAUGUGUUGUUGGGUAGGGGAGCGUUCUGUAAGCCUGUGAAGGUGUGCUGUGAGGCAUGCUGGAGGUAUCAGAAGUGCGAAUGCUGACAUAAGUAACGAUAAAGCGGGUGAAAAGCCCGCUCGCCGGAAGACCAAGGGUUCCUGUCCAACGUUAAUCGGGGCAGGGUGAGUCGACCCCUAAGGCGAGGCCGAAAGGCGUAGUCGAUGGGAAACAGGUUAAUAUUCCUGUACUUGGUGUUACUGCGAAGGGGGGACGGAGAAGGCUAUGUUGGCCGGGCGACGGUUGUCCCGGUUUAAGCGUGUAGGCUGGUUUUCCAGGCAAAUCCGGAAAAUCAAGGCUGAGGCGUGAUGACGAGGCACUACGGUGCUGAAGCAACAAAUGCCCUGCUUCCAGGAAAAGCCUCUAAGCAUCAGGUAACAUCAAAUCGUACCCCAAACCGACACAGGUGGUCAGGUAGAGAAUACCAAGGCGCUUGAGAGAACUCGGGUGAAGGAACUAGGCAAAAUGGUGCCGUAACUUCGGGAGAAGG
rnacentral:rRNA from 1 species